rnacentral:rRNA from 1 species
UACGUAGGGUGCAAGCGUUGUCCGGAAUUAUUGGGCGUAAAGAGCUCGUAGGCGGUUUGUCGCGUCGACUGUGAAAACCCGGGACUCAACUCCGGGCCUGCAUUCGAUACGGGCAGACUAGAGUUCGGUAGGGGAGACUGGAAUUCCUGGUGUAGCGGUGAAAUGCGCAGAUAUCAGGAGGAACACCGGUGGCGAAGGCGGGUCUCUGGGCCGAUACUGACGCUGAGGAGCGAAAGCGUGGGGAGCAAACAGG